UCAGACAACACAAAGCCUCUUUUGCUGUUGCAUAGUUGAACAAUGUACUGAUUCAUUAGAUUUUACUAUCUCACUGUCUAAACAGUAAAAAUGUUUAGUCAUUUUUUCACUCUUUGCCUCUUCAUAACUGUUAAAACCUCUACAGUCAAUGAAGUUCAAGUACACACAGUUAGGCAGGGAUUUGGUGUGGCAAUUAAAUGUGGCCAAAACAUAGUUCAAUAUGGAAAAAAUCAUUUUUUAGUUUGGUAUAAGGUGAGUUUAGGAAAGGUGCCUCAGUACAUUUUGAGAACAGUUGAGGAUGGUACAAAGUACAGAUUUGCUCGAGCAUUUGCCAAUGGCCACUUCACUGUUUCUCUAAGUGAAGAAAUGUUUGACCUCAAUAUUAAUGAUGUCUCAGAAGAUGACAUUGGAACAUACUUCUGUGGAAUAGUGAAGGCAAAUGUUGUAGAGUUUGGAUCUGGGACCCUUCUGCUAUUUCAAGCUGAAAAGAUCAAGUGGCAGCUUCAGACUGAAAUGGUUUUCAAGGACAGAGAAUAUUCUACAGUCCAGUGUUCACUACAAGCUGUUACUGAGAGUUGCUCAGGAGAACACAGUGUCUACUGGUUCAGACAUGGCUCAAACAAAUCUCAUCCAGGAAUCAUUUACACUUAUGGAAACAGGAGUGAUCAGUGUAAGACAGACUCUGAUGGUGGAUCUCCUACAUGGACUUGUGUCUAUGACCUUCCCAGGAGUUACACCAGACAUUCUGAUGGUGGAACUUAUUACUGUGCUGUGGCUGCAUGUGGGGAAAUACUCUUUGGAAAUGGAACUAAAGUUGAUGUUGAAGAAUAUAAUCACUGGAUUGUUAUUGCGCUGGCAACAUCCAGUAUAUUUAACGUUAUUAUGGUAGUUUUGGUUGGAAUUCUAUUUAAAAAUCAACAGAAAGGUGCUUCCAAUUACAAUCAAAGUCACAUAAAUCAGGCUGAAGACUUUGAUUUAUCAAAUUGCACAGCUGUGAGAUUUACACAGAAACGUUUGUGAUAUCCAGAGUCAAAGACAGUCAAGAUGUUGAUAUACAGAUUAAAGUGAAAUGAAUAUCCAUCAAAAUCAUCACCAACAUGGACAUGUAUCCCCACAUUUUAGGAAAGCUUAAUGAUGUCCCAGAAGAUAGCGCUGCACAUUAGCGGACUAUGGAUCAGAGAGUCUCUACAAAUCGCUGUGCUGUCUUUGUGAAGAAGGAUUCUUUUGCUUGUCAGUGCUUCUCUUAGUUAUUCUCUUAUGGAUAAUAAAGAGCAUUUCUUUGCUACCCUGCCUCUUACUUCCUCUCUGCUGCCUGCGACACAUUCACUACAUCCUGGAGAUAACUAAUUACAUCCAGAAGUCAAUGUGAAGCACUA